GUGCUGUUGGCAUAGAGGUUUGAGCAUUGGAUUAGAACUCUGGAGACCAGGGUUCAAAUCCCAGCUUGACCA